UCACAACUGUGACCAGGGCCUUCCUAACAGCCCCUGAGUUCACAGAGCCCAGGGAGGUCACCGUGGAUUGAGCGGUAGUGCUGAUGUUUGUGUCUCUGUGCUUGGGCUCAUGGGCACCACCUCUGGAUCCAUCCAGGAGGAAAUAGACUGGUCAGGACCUGCAACGGCACCUUCCUGUCCUGUCCUCACCGUCUGCUCCUGCUCUAAGGGCGCUCCCUGGGUUGGAUGACACAGGGAGUCCUUCCUCUGGGAUUCCUGCGUGUGCCCCGGCAUCCUGGAGUCCUGAGGGCGGAACACAUGACUGAGCACAUUUUUGGCCUCCACUCCUCACCCAAUCCCACCCAAUCCCAAAUCCUUGGGCUUUGAAUGAAACCUAAAUUGGCUUUCAUUGGAGAGGCCCGAGUCCAGCUGUGGCUCAAGGCCCUCUGUGGCUGGCAGGAAUCCUCGGGGAUAUGUGUGGAGGGGCUGCUGUGUUGCUGUAGGCAGUGGCUCUCGCCCUCCCUGUAGCCUGGUCCCUGGCAUCCACUGGGCCCAGGACGGAGCCUCUGGGGCCACUUGUCUUGUGACACCCUCCUGUCUGGCCCAACAGCCUUAUCCUGCUCCCCACACUCGAGUCAGGCCCAGCUUGUUCUCUGUGUCAGGCCUGUCAGGUGCCCUCCCACCUAGUCUUCCCACAGCUCAGGCAAACCCUGGGAGGCCCCCUCAUUUCUGUGCUGACAACUGCUGGCCUCACCUGCAGAUUAAGGCAACUGGGACAAGGGGCUGUACCUUGAAUUCUGUUCCAUUGUUUCCAAAUAUUCAGAAGCUGGUGGGAUUCUUUUGAAGGCUGAAUAUUUUCCAAGUCUCUAGGGUCAUUCCAGGCAUAGAACAGUCACUGUAUCUGUGACAUCAUUCAUCAUCAGCUCCCACAGGCCCCAAUACAACCCCAGGCCUGUGGUCAUCAGUCAUGAUCGCCUCCCAUGGGCCCCAACACAACCCCAGGCCUGGGCAGGUGCUGCUGACCCAGGGUGCGAUCCGUGUGUUGACUGGAGGCUGGCAGUGCAGCCUUGGCCUUCUUUCCGACGUUCUGUUGGAGAACAGUGGGACGGGUGGAGGCCCACAAGGAGGAAGGAAAUGGGAUUCAUGAGGGAACAGAAGCAGGCCCUACAGGAGGAGGAGGGAGGAAUUCCACGUCAUGCACAACGUUGUGAAGAGGGCGGCCGCCUCUUGGAGGAACAGAAUGACACGGCUUCCCCUCCCUGGGCUCAGUUAUGGAAUACACUGAUGCUUGCUUCCCAGAACUGGGAGACUCCACCAUUACAGGCAGCCACCAGCAGGUAACUGAUCUCCUCUUAUAUGCUCUCUCUCUUUUAUCCUCUUUCUGACUCCUGAGCUCCUUUCUUAGCUCUGGUCCUUUUCCUCUUUUCCUCUCUUGUGAUUGUUCUGAAGCACCUGGUCUCAUCCCACAGUUGAGGUCCUCGGGUCUUCAGUGUGGAUAAAACCCCUCCCCA
rnacentral:lncRNA from 1 species